rnacentral:tRNA from 1 species
GGGAAGCUGGCUCAGUGGUAGAGCACUUGCUUUGCAUGCAUGAAGGAGGCCCUGGGUUCGAUUCCCCAGCACCACA